CUCAUGCCCUUAUGCCCAGGGCUACACACGUGCUACAAUGGGCGGUACAAAGGGUAGCGAUGCCGCGAGGUGAAAGCCAAAUCCCAAAAAGCCGUCCACAGUUCGGAUUGGAGUCUGCAACUCGACUCCAUGAAGCCGGAAUCGCUAGUAAUCGUGGAUCAGCAUGCCACGGUGAAUACGUUCCCGGGCCUU
rnacentral:rRNA from 1 species